CUUGUAUAUUACAUUUUAUUCAUAUUUCCACCUUUAUUUUGUCAAGCGUAGCGUUAAAAUACAUUACACUGUUUUGCUGAAUAAAAAUGUUAUGGGUAACGUUAUCAUCACUAUAUGGUUAGGUUGGUUCUGUGUUGCCCACUAACUGCUUUUACUUUGGAAGCUAGAUGUAGACGUUUCCGCUGUCAGUUGGUCUGUCGGUAGACAGCUUGACGCAGUUAGUUAGCUGUAUCUGUUUCCUGGAUCAUCUCGGCAGGACGUAGCGGCUCAGGACUCAGCCCCUCGGCUCUACCACGCAUGCUACUUGCUCCUGUCGUCAUGAGGAGGAAAAAAAUGAUUGAACUGUUCUUUAGUGCGCCCCCGUGUGGUAGAAUGAACAAGAUGUUUUAUUCUCCUCUUCACCUUCAUGCUCAUGCCUCAUCCACUAGAAGGAAGCAGAGUAAUUUGCCAUAUGCCGAGUUUAAGUGCUGUCGGAAAUCCUACGGUCACUUUGAAAUGAACAACAAAGUGGACGGUGUAAGUGAUAUGUUACGUGAUUGUCAGUUAAGCAGACACAUUGUAUAUUUAUAUGUAGUUGGUCAUGCGUGUUUGAGCAUACAAGGAGCUUUCUUAAAGUUAAAAAAUACAACAUCUGUUGGCAUAUGCAGACAAGUACAGUUUAUUGUAACAAAGAUGUAGCAAAAACAAGCAAAACUUCAAUCAUCAGUGCUCCCCAAUAGUUAUGCCAUUAUUCCUGCGAAAUAAAACAAUGUUGUGUGUGUGUGUGUGUGUGUGUAUGUGGGAAGUGGCAGGAACAUUUGAAGGCAACACAACUAUUCUCUUUUCCAUCCACUUUAAUUGCACAGGAAACUGUGAUCAUCAUGUAGGCUGUCUAAAUGUGUCUCCAAACUUGAUGGUUUUCAGCACAAGAGUUUUGCUCAAUGUUACACGUGAGAAAAAGCAAGUGAAACACUUCUUCAAAGGGUCUCGUGCAGUGUGUCCACCCAGCUGAAGCGGGACCGCCCCGUACAUACUGACAUGCACUGCCCUGCUGUCCGUACUUUGCUGCAGCAGUCCAGCCCCCCUUGAGGGAGGGGAAGACAGAUAGAAAGCCACUUUUAUUGCGUUGUCAUGUUUCACAAGGAGUUCAGAAGCUCCGGGACCGCCUGACACCAUCGUUUUUAUGGAUGCACCCAAAGUUUGAACGCGGAGACUUUUUUUCCUUCUACUAACUUUGCAGUCAUUUCAAGGCAAUUCUCUUGUGUGUGUCCCCCCCCCCCCCCACCCCCAAUAUUCAACAACGUUUUAAUGGCUGAGCAUCUUCUUUUGUAGCAUUUAGAGUAUUUCGUGGCGCAA
rnacentral:lncRNA from 1 species